rnacentral:rRNA from 1 species
ACGGAGGGUGCUAGCGUUGUUCGGAAUUACUGGGCGUAAAGGGCGCGUAGGCGGCCGCUUAAGUCGGGUGUGAAAGCCCGGGGCUCUACCCCGGAACUGCAUCCGAGACUGGGUGGCUGGAGACCGGGAGAGGAGAGUGGUAUACCCAGUGUAGAGGUGAAAUUCGUAGAUAUUGGGUGGAACACCGGUGGCGAAAGCGGCUCUCUGGCCCGGUUCUGACGCUGAGGCGCGAAAGCGUGGGGAGCAAACAGGA